UUUCAGUUGACCAGGAAAACGUUUUAGGUGGACUCUGGAAAUCCAAAUUGCAAUGGAAAGCACAUUGGGUGAAAGACUGGGAACUAAAAAAGAUCUAUGUUCCAAUAUGGCGAAAAGUGUGGGCCCCCGUUGCGGUCAGAGAAUGGAUCCCCUUUCCCAAAACUCCCGUGAAACAAUAAGCGCCAGACCAAGAGAUAUAAAUAACCUGAUAUUGGGGCAGAUGACUGUUUACAAUUGUACUUUGUAUGCUUUACUGUCAACUCUGUCUAAGGAGAAGUUCAAAUGAAGAAUUUGUAGUGAUUGGUUUGAAGAAAGGAUUUUGAAAACUCAAAAUAUUUCCAAAACCUGAAAUGAUGCCAUCUAAUUUAUUUAUUUUUGUGUUAUUUAUUGAAUUGUUGUGAAUUAAACAUUGAUUGAUUCA